AAGGAUUUAAGUUAAUAAAAACUAGUAGCCUUCAAAGCUUCAAAUAAAGUUAUAUCUUUAAGCCUUA
rnacentral:tRNA from 1 species